rnacentral:sRNA from 1 species
ACCAGGUGUGGUGGUGCACACCUGUAAUCUCAACUACUCUAAAGGCUGAGGCAGGAGGAUUGCAAAUUCAAGGCUAGCCUGGGCAAUUUAGUGAUUCCCUGCCUCAA